GAAAAUCUAGAAACUGCAGGAAGAGAAGAGGAAGCUGGAGACUCAGAUUUCUACCCUGAGGACCCAGAUAAUUCAGAAGAAUAAGGAAGUUGAAGAAGCUAAGAAGUUGAAUGAAACACUUAAAGGUCGUCCUGCAGACAGUCCUGAUGGCUAUAAGAAAAACUUGGACAAGAUUUUGGAAGAAGUAAGGAAACAGACUCAAAGUUUUGCAGGGAAAUGCAAUGAUCCCGAGCAUAAAAAGAUCAACCCAUCCGAGAUAAAAAGCUUACAGGACAAAAAGAAAAAACUAGAGGAUGAAAUUAAAACACUUCUAAAGGAAAAUCAAAAUCUCCAAAAGGACAAAGAAGAAAAGGAAAACGAGCUAAACAUCAGCCAGAAAGAAUGCAUAGUUUUGCAGAAUAAGGAGAUGGCCAUGAUCGCAGAGAUCGCUGCCUACAAGACUCUGCUGGAAGUUGAGGAGGAUAGAAUCAAGUCAACUGUGGAGGAUGUUCCCCCCACUCCUGGAGGACCAAAUAGCAACCCAAAGAACAGCAAUCCUAAAUCUCCAAACACUCCCCUCCCGUCGCAAACAG